UAGGGAAUCUUCCACAAUGGGCGAAAGCCUGAUGGAGCAAUGCCGCGUGAGUGAAGAAGGUUUUCGGAUCGUAAAACUCUGUUGUUGAAGAAGAACAUGCGUGAGAGUAACUGUUCACGUACUGACGGUAUUCAACCAGAAAGCCACGGCUAACUACGUGCCAGCAGCCGCGGUAAUACGUAGGUGGCAAGCGUUGUCCGGAUUUAUUGGGCGUAAAGAGAAUGUAGGCGGUUUAUUAAGUUUGAAGUGAAAGCCCUCGGCUCAACCGAGGAAGUGCUUCGAAAACUGGUAAACUUGAGUGCAGAAGAGGAAAGUGGAACUCCAUGUGUAGCGGUGGAAUGCGUAGAUAUAUGGAAGAACACCAGUGGCGAAGGCGGCUUUCUGGUCUGUAACUGACGCUGAGAUUCGAAAGCAUGGGUAGCAAACAGG
rnacentral:rRNA from 2 species